AGUAAUGAAGUAAUAUUUACAUUUAGUUUCGACCUAAAAAUUAGAGAAAUUCUCCUUACUU
rnacentral:tRNA from 1 species